rnacentral:rRNA from 1 species
AAUAAUAACCAAACCACCUGGACUGCACCCAAUCCCAUCAGAUCUCAGUAGCUAAGCAGGGUUGAGCAUAGACAGUGCUUAGAUGGGCGACCAAUAUGUACAAGCAGGUUGUCAUAG